rnacentral:rRNA from 1 species
GUGCCAGCAGCCGCGGUAAUACGUAGGGUGCGAGCGUUGUCCGGAAUUAUUGGGCGUAAAGAGCUUGUAGGCGGUUUGUCGCGUCUGCGGUGAAAACUCGGGGCUUAACCCUGGGCGUGCCGUGGGUACGGGCAGGCUAGAGUGUGGUAGGGGAGACUGGAAUUCCUGGUGUAGCGGUGAAAUGCGCAGAUAUCAGGAGGAACACCGAUGGCGAAGGCAGGUCUCUGGGCCAUAACUGACGCUGAGAAGCGAAAGCAUGGGGAGCGAACAGGAUUAGAUACCCUCGUAGUCC